GGAUCAGUACGCUGGUCAUGCCUCUGGUAUGUACUGGUCUCACUGAUUCCUCCUUCCUGAUGAGCCGUAAUGCCAUUAAUUUGGUGUUGCGGGGAAUUUGGACUGUUACUUUGAAAAAAUUAGAGUGUUUAAAGCAGGCUCACGCUUGAAUACAUUAGCAUGGAAUAAUGAAAUAGGACGUUUGAUUCUAUUUUGUUGGUUUCUAGGAUCGACGUA
rnacentral:rRNA from 1 species